rnacentral:lncRNA from 1 species
UUGACUUAGAAAAUAUCAACCCCGGGCAUGCGACUUUAUUUGCAGUAUCUUACAAUGCAGAGUCAUUUGGCUACUUCAAAAAGUUAUAAUAUAUCUAGAAUUCAGUUUACAUCCUUCCAUUUUUCUUGUACUGAUUCUCAAACUCACCACAUCCAAGGAAUCAGCCACAUGUGGAACUUAGCUGCAAGAAAACAAUCGCCAUUGCUCAUUAUUUUGCAUAAUCACCACAAAAAUCAUUUCUUGCAUGAUGUCCCUCCUGCGAAUUUCAUAGGACGACUUCAUGAGAAGGCUAAUCUAGUGUGGUACAGAAAUACAACAUGCCAAAUUAUAUCCUUACAUUGAAUGGUGCUGAUCAAACGCAAAAAAUGAAAUGUGAUUUAUUAGCUUUGAUGGCAUAAUACUUAAUUCAAAAUAAGAUAAAUUAGUGCCUAUUUUGGUUUCUUCUUGGCCAACACAAGAACGUACUACUGCUUCCACUUAUGACUGCCACAAACCAGAACAACCUCAUCCACCUCGCACAUCACACGAAAGUAAGGAACUUGCCAUUGGUAGAAGACAUCACACGGCAUCAAAUUUGACAAAAUAAUAGGUUCAUCAUCUAUUUAACAGCCUUUGUUAGUAUUACAUUAUAAUGAGUUUUUAGAAUCCAUUAUAGUUUCUGGUCAUUUUUUCUGUGAGAGCUUCUGAUUUUCAACGCCUGGAUUGGAGCAAAUUCACCAACAGUUCCUUUGAGAUUCAGAACAUGUCCAUAUACAGAGAUUAAGAGUCAAGCGCCAUAAGCGAAUUUUGAGACAUUCAUGAAAUAAAACGUCAUGCGGCUAUGGCGUUGCCUAACUCGUGGUAGCACACAAGCACAAAGAAAAUAAAAAAUUAUGGAUGAACACACACUAUUACUUAACCAGUGCGCUACAAUUAGCCAAGAAAGUUAUACACCAAAUAUACAUGCAUGUCAAUAAAUUCUAUAGGAUCGACAAAGAUUCAGUAAUGGGCAUUCAGAAAUAACAUGUUUCUAGAUCUACUUACAAUGACAAACACUUAUUACCUUAAGCCAUUCAAAUAGAUUGUGUUCUACAUCCACAACUGCGACACCAUCCUUCUCACCAUACAAUUCAGAAGGCAAGUCAUCACACCAAC